rnacentral:rRNA from 1 species
ACGAACGCUGGCGGCGUGCUUAACACAUGCAAGUCGAACGGAAAGGCCCUGCUUUUGUGGGGUGCUCGAGUGGCGAACGGGUGAGUAACACGUGAGUAACCUGCCCUUGACUUUGGGAUAACUUCAGGAAACUGGGGCUAAUACCGGAUAGGAGCUCCUGCUGCAUGGUGGGGGUUGGAAAGUUUCGGCGGUUGGGGAUGGACUCGCGGCUUAUCAGCUUGUUGGUGGGGUAGUGGCUUACCAAGGCUUUGACGGGUAGCCGGCCUGAGAGGGUGACCGGCCACAUUGGGACUGAGAUACGGCCCAGACUCCUACGGGAGGCAGCGGUGGGGAAUAUUGCACAAUGGGCGGAAGCCUGAUGCAGCAACGCCGCGUGCGGGAUGACGGCCUUCGGGUUGUAAACCGCUUUCGCCUGUGACGAAGCGUGAGUGACGGUAAUGGGUAAAGAAGCACCGGCUAACUACGUG